rnacentral:rRNA from 1 species
GUAUUAGUUAUGUUCUUGAACCCAAAGAAUUUGGCGGUAUUUUAGUCCUUUCAGAGGAACCUGUCCCGUAAUCGAUAGUCCACGAUAAUGAUUUACUUAUGUUUGUUUUCAGUUUGUAUACCUCCGUCAUCAGCGAAUCUUUUUAGAGUUUUAAUUUUCUUUAUACAAUAAAUGUAGUAUGUCAGGUCAAGGUGCAAUUUAUAUAUAAGAGGAGAUGGGUUACAAUAAUUUUAUUUAAAUGGAUUAAAUUAUUUAUUUUUUUUAUGAAGGUGGAUUUGAUAGUAAUUUCAGUUAUUUAUUGAGAUGAUUGUUGGCUCUAAAAUAUGCACACAUCGCCCG